UUAAAUCCGGUUGAUCCUGCCGGACCUUACUGCUAUCGGGGUGGGACUAAGACAUGCGAGUCGAGCGUCUCUAGCUAUGUUGAGACGCGGCAGACGGCUCAGUAACGCGUGGCUAACCUACCCUCAG
rnacentral:rRNA from 1 species